rnacentral:rRNA from 1 species
CCUACGGGUGGCAGCAGUGGGGAAUAUUGGACAAUGGGGGCAACCCUGAUCCAGCCAUGCCGCGUGUGUGAAGAAGGCCCUCGGGUUGUAAAGCACUUUCAGUGAGGAAGAACGCCUGGUGGUUAAUACCCAUCAGGAAAGACAUCACUCACAGAAGAAGCACCGGCUAACUCCGUGCCAGCAGCCGCGGUAAUACGGAGGGUGCGAGCGUUAAUCGGAAUUACUGGGCGUAAAGCGCGCGUAGGUGGCUUGAUAAGCCGGUUGUGAAAGCCCCGGGCUCAACCUGGGAACGGCAUCCGGAACUGUCAAGCUUGAGUGCAGGAGAGGAAGGUAGAAUUCCCGGUGUAGCGGUGAAAUGCGUAGAGAUCGGGAGGAAUACCGGUGGCGAAGGCGGCCUUCUGGACUGAGACUGACACUGAGGUGCGAAAGCGUGGGUAGCAAACAGGAUUAGAUACCCGUGUAGUC